AUUCAAUUAGAAACGAAUCCCAAAGAGAAGCAUUUUCACUGGUGAUCUCAGACUUUUGGACCCCUCUCUGUCUGCUCGUCUGUGUGUGUGUGUGUAAUACACUGAUCAGGGAAGCACACCUGGCAGUGAGAUGUCUAAUCAGUGGGGAUUAUAUUAUGUUUAUGAUCAGUCGAUUCCCGCCUCCUUCUUACCGUACUUUGAAAUUUGUUACAGUGGUGAUGAAACCCAUGAAAGAGGAGGGAGGUGCUGUCAGAGAGCCCUCAGCACUGUGGGAGGAUCACAGCAUCGAGGGAGAGUGAGGCGAUGGUCCUGGAGCAGUUGCCGGGGAGGACGGAGGAGAUGCUGCUGUCCCCCGGGGACCGAGCUCCAGAACCAUCACCUCACUCUCCCUCGAUGCUGUGAUCCUCCUACAGACCCCACUGUAACAAAUUUCAAAGUCGAGCUUCCUCACAGCCUGGCUCCUCCCUCUUCCUUAUCACACUCCCCUUGUGCCGUCAAAACUGCUCUGACCCAUUUAGGUAUGCACUCCACAAGACCUCUGAAGAUGUGCUUUUGUAUCUGGCACCAAGACAUUAGCGUCAGAUCCUUUAAGUCCUUUCAGGUGUGAGGUGGGGCCUUCAUAGAUCCGAUAUGUUUGUCCAGCAUGUCCCACAGAUCCUCAGUCAGAUUGAGAUCUGGGGAAUUUGGAGGCCAAGUCAACAACGUGAACUCUCUGUCAUGUUCCACAAACCAUUCCUGAACAAUUUUUGCAGUGUGGCAGGGCGCAUUAUCCUGCUGAAAGAGGCCUGUGCUAUUAGGGAAUACUGUUGCCAUGAAGAGGUGUACUUGGUCUGAAACAGUGUUUAGAUAGGUGGUAUGUGUCAAAGUAACAUCCACAUGAAUACCAGGACCCAAGGUUUCCCAGCAGAACCUUGCCCAGAGAAUCACACUUCCUCCGCCGGCUCGUCUUCUUCCCAUAGUGCAUCCUGGUGCCAUCGCUUCCCCAGAAUCGUCUCGGUGAGCAACAAGAAAUUCAUCGCUAAUGUGAUUAGCAUUUCACUCCCUGGGCUGAUCAGUAUGGUAAUGGAUUUGGACAGUUCAGGGAGCACUUGGACGACUGCUAUCUGUCCUUACCUACUGCUUCAGAGCAAAGUGUUGCAACAACAGCAACUUAAAGCUGCAGUAUGUCAUGU
ensembl:lncRNA